rnacentral:tRNA from 1 species
GGCCUCGUAACAUUGGCUGUACUAAAGCCUUCCCCAUACUGGUGUGGGUUCGAAUCCCACCGAGGCCU